ensembl:lncRNA
CUGCAUUAUUGUGUUUGGUCCCUGUACCUGCCAUUGUUUAUGGAAAGGACAAAUUCAAAUUUGAUGUCAUCAUUCCCUUUUGCCUCCUGUAGGCAAAAUGGAAGUACAGUAUAUAAACUGUAAAAUAUACAGGCACCAUAUUGUUAUCCUGCAACACAUAAAAACUGUCACUGUAUUGUUGGCUUGAUAAACUUGAUCAAUUCCAGUAAUACUUGCACUGUUCGUACGUAUACCUCACCGGCAUGUUUCAAUUUCUUUUAGCUUCUGGAAAAAUUCAGCACACUGAAAUAUUUUGAUUCUCUGAUAAUCAACAGUUACAGGUAUUCAUGAUAACAAACACCUCUGCCAGCUACUGUUUCCCGUUCUUUCUACACACAUAAAACACAUUAGAAAUAGAGAAAUGACAGAAAAUGUAGUAACGUUUCCCAUUUGAUUUAAAGGAGCGGCAGCGUGAUUGUAGAUUAUACGGUGCAGUUAAUGAGUUCAGUUACAAUUGAUGAGUUGGAAAAUUUUACCCUAACACUGCCUAAUUCUGUUCUGGUAACAACAGGCCUCAUCCCUAUUAACGGUCCUCAGAAGGCAAUUGACAUCGGCUCCUCUGUAAGUAUAACUUGUAAUCCACCACAAGAGCUGGGAGAGGUAAAGUGGUUCUUAACAGAUAGGCAGAACAAAACAACAGAGAUCACAAUAGGAAAAGAGGCCGCCUUGAAGAAGAUCAAGUUGAUGGACAUUGUUGAACUGUAUGACAUUUCAGGAAGCUGGAAAGGAACACUAAAAUGUGUGUACAAAAGAAGUUCCAUAGAACACACAGCAAGUACAGAGUUGGACAUAGCACUUCUGCCAGAAAUACAGGCUAUGAGCAUGCCCCAAUUUCCUGACUGUAGAAAUGUAAAUGCAGAAAGAGUGGUUGAAAUUGAGUGUAAAAUUUUAGAAGACAAAGAAAAUUACAGUGUUGCAUGGAAUACUAGUCUUACUUACACAAAAAUAGGACCAGAACGCCAGGGGAAUUUUUUAUCUUACAAAGUAAAGGCAACCAUAAAUUGUGGAGAGAAAACAGAGACAGAGAAUGUCAUGUGUAUAUUCACGAACACCAGAGCCGAAAAGAACAGAACCAGAUCUCAGAAUGUGCAGAUUCCCAUCAUUUAUGGUAAGUUUUGAUGUUGUUUAACUUUUUUCUUAAUUCUAUAUCUUUUAAAGUUGUAGACAGUGUUUCUCAGCUGAAGAGUGUGAUUUUUAUUUUUUUCAAUGUUGCAAUCGACCAGCCUGACAGCGUAACUGACUCAACUAAUGGUGUGAGUUUGGGGUCGAGUAUGUUAAUCUGACCAGUGAGGGGUGGAAGUAGGCAUGUUUGGGACAACUCUUUGAAAAAAAACAACACAUUUUUUUGGUGGUGCUAAUGGUUCAAAAACGACCCACUUCACCUUAUAAAUAUAAUAUAUAUUAUAAAAUAUAUUUUACAAUAUAUUUACGUGAAUUACUAACUUUUUGCCUAACAAAUGUACAUGACUGAAAUAUCACAUCAGCAUCAGCAAUAAGUGUUUUCAUUUGAAUAAUUUUUAGUUUUUAUUUUACUCAGCCUAAUGCCCAUUUCUGCUAAAAGGAAGAAAAAAAUCACACUUUGGUAAAUCACUAUUAUGAAAAGAAGUCUAAAUAAUGAGAACAAGCUGAAAUUAAUUACUUUUUAUAAAUUUUUAUGCCAUAACUAUGACUUUUGUCCAUAUAAUGGGGUUUUCAAGCUCCAAAACGACAACCAAAAAGUUGACGCAUGCUAUGUCUUGCGAAAUCAUAUGACAACACAAAGUCAUUAUUCACUGCCAGUCUUUUCCACCAUCCAAGCUCUUACUUGAAAUACAUCUGAAGAUGUAUAAUGACUUUCGGACUAUUCAUUACAUAAAGCUAUUGUAUGCCUUGGAAUUACUUUUGUGGUGCUUUUUUUGUUAUUUUAAAAUCCAAGAGUUCACUUUCACUCUUUUUUAUUUGCAAAAGAGUGGCUAGGAUAUUCUUCAAAAAAGUCCUUGGAAGAAAGACAUAAAGGUUUGGAAUGGCAUGAUAGUGAUUUAAUGGGGAGACAAAUUUCAUUUUUGAGUGAACUAAUGUCAUUGGAUAUGGUUUUUUUUAUUGUAUUUGUAAAAACAAAAAUAAUGAGAAAAACAAAUCU